rnacentral:pre_miRNA from 1 species
UCCUAUGGAUAAGCAAAGAGAGUGGCUUCCUGAGAUGGAGUCUACUCAUGGUGAAGGUGCUGUGGA